CAUGUAGGCGGUUGUUUAAGUCUGAUGUGAAAGUCCUGGGCUCAACCCAGGAAGUGCAUUGGAUACUGGACAACUUGAGUACGGGAGAGGAAAGUGGAAUUUCGAGUGUAGGGGUGAAAUCCGUAGAUAUUCGAAGGAACACCAGUGGCGAAGGCGGCUCUCUGGACCGAUACUGACGCUGAGAUGCGAAAGCGUGGGGAGCAAACA
rnacentral:rRNA from 1 species